rnacentral:rRNA from 1 species
UACGUAGGGGGCAAGCGUUGUCCGGAAUCAUUGGGCGUAAAGCGCGUGUAGGCGGUCCGGUAAGUCGGCUGUGAAAGUCCAGGGCUCAACCCUGGGAUGCCGGUCGAUACUGCCGGACUAGAGUUCGGAAGAGGCGAGUGGAAUUCCCGGUGUAGCGGUGAAAUGCGCAGAUAUCGGGAGGAACACCAAUGGCGAAGGCAGCUCGCUGGGACGUUACUGACGCUGAGACGCGAAAGCGUGGGGGAGCAAACAGG